CAGGACGAACGCUGGCGGCGUGCCUAACACAUGCAAGUCGAACGGAGAUAAAGCUUCGGUUUAUCUUAGUGGCGGACGGGUGAGUAACGCGUGAGCAACCUGCCUUAAAGAGGGGGAUAACGUUUGGAAACGAACGCUAAUACCGCAUAAAAUGCGAGAGCUGCAUGGCUUUUGUAUCAAAGGAGCAAUCCGCUUUAAGAUGGGCUCGCGUCCGAUUAGCUAGUUGGCGGGGUAAUGGCCCACCAAGGCGACGAUCGGUAGCCGAACUGAGAGGUUGAUCGGCCACAUUGGGACUGAGACACGGCCCAGACUCCUACGGGAGGCAGCAGUGGGGAAUAUUGCACAAAUGGGGGAAACCCUGAUGCAGCAACGCCGCGUGAGGGAAGAAGGUUUUCGGAUUGUAAACCUCUGUCUCCGGUGAAGAUAAUGACGGUAACCGGGGAGGAAGCCACGGCUAACUACGUGCCAGCCGCCGC
rnacentral:rRNA from 1 species